CAGUUAAGCAACUUUUAAAACAUCUUUAACUUUAUUUCAGCUCUACUUCAUAGACAACAUUUUUUUUAAGGCAACCUUCAUAACCUAGAUGGUGUAAAAUCGAUGUUUAAUUAGCACAAUGGCUUUACACUUUUUUAUAACAGGUACAGCAGGCACAUUUUUCUGGAAUAACAGGAGAAAGAAGUGAAAGGAGAAGUGAGAGAAGGAAGGUGUGAGAUUUGGCUCGUGCUCUCACAGCUGUUUUUGAAGUGCUUUUUCUUCUCACAACUGGUAGUUUGAUCAUGGUGAAGAAAUGCAGUGCCAGAGAGAAUAAAUGGAGAAAUGUAGAUGUACACGAGAGACACCAGCUCACACACAAAAUGGAGAGGAGAAGUGAUAAUGAGAGAGUGAAGUUCAUUAGAGAGGGGAGGGAGAUAUGAGAGGACUGCGAAGACCAGAAAACUGGAACAGAUGAAGGAUCUGUGCUGUAGUCAUCCCACACAGAUAUGUGGCUGGCAGAGGCUUCUGAUCGGUCUGAAAGCUGGUAACAUGAAAGAAGGAAAAGAUGGCUUGAAAGAACGCGAGAAUGAGGCAUCUGAGGACGUGUCUGAAUACAGGAAGUUAUUUUAGAAGAUCUGGGCGGUGGAGGAGCGCUUGUCUCCGUCUCAAAUGUGCACACUGAUAAAAAAGUGAGUGACGUCAUCCUGUCUCUUGACAUAACUUACAGCUGAGACCAUUUACUCAUCACCAUCAGCACUCUUUUGUAAAAUGAUUAUGCCAUGUUCAUUGUGGUUUGUCGUUUUAAACUGUUAGACAUACUUCCGACUUUCAGCAUCAAAUCUCUUCCAGAUUGAAGCUCAUUUUGGUCAAAAACUGCCCACUUAUGCACCUUAUUUUUUACGUAAGAGCAGGUGCAGCCAUUUGUAAGCUGAAUGUGCAAGGCUUCCUGUGUCCGCCGCUCCAGGUAUUUUUGACAGUACCUAACAGCUGGUUACGCUGCUUGAUAUUGCAGACUAGAUUUUCUUAUAUUAUUUGAAUGUAUUGUCAUAAUUAUAAACACACUGGUUUGUAGCACAAAUCAUUUUAGUGUUUACUUCACUUUGUUAUUCUUCUAGUUAUUUACCUACUGUAUGUCAACUU
rnacentral:lncRNA from 1 species